CAGGUGAUGUAAUAUUAUAGCCUUCCUCCACAGGGGAGCUUUGAGGACUUGUUGGAAGCAGGUGAUGGAAAUCUGGGGAUUUGGGCACAACCUCUGAUUAUAUCAGGGCAGGUAACUUUAAACCUGUAUUAUGGGAGGUUUUUUUGGCCACUUGGGGGCAGUGCAACAAGCUGUUAUUACAAGACGUUAACAAACAUGUUUGUCUUAUUUACACAGCAGAUACAGAGAAACAAUAGCCUUAAUCUGAAAUCAUGUUCAUUUAUCUGCUGUUAGCUCUGGUUUGGUCUCCACCCAGAGAUAUCUGGCUCUUUAACAUCUAGCUGUUCGACUUUCUUCCCCUUUAGUCUCUGACUGUGUCUGGCUGCUGUUUGGUGCUUAGCAAGUCAUGUACAGUUUAUACUAAUCAGAGCUUUUAAUCUGAAAACAGCCGCCUGCUGCUGCUGGAAACUAAGCUAACGAGAGCCGAGAGACUUUAAACAGGCUGUAAAAACAAGAUGCCAGAAAGUUAGGUUGAGCUGAAGGGAACUGCAGAGCAAGCGGAAAACGUAAACGUAAAGAGCGAAGGACAGCUACGGUGGCUGACACAGCACAAAAGGUGUCUCUUCUGAGACAGCAGAGUGGUCAGUCAAGAAAUGAGGUUUCUGUAGGUAUAUUUCUUAAGAAAUUAUUUUUACUUAAUUAAUCAGUAAAACCACAUGUUAUUGUGACUUGGCCAGUGACAGACAACAUGGAAAAUGUAAGCCAACAGUUGCUCACACAAUCACUUCCUCUUUGGUGGUUUUGCCUAAAAAAUAACUGUUUACUGUAAUGUUGUAUUUGGAGUUGAACUGAGCUUUUACUUUUUUACUUUACUAAAUUCUGAAUGACCUUUAAAGAGUCUGUAGCUGCUUGACACACCUCUGAAAGAGCCGUCACGAAAAUGUGAUUCCCCUAAAUGUCCUCUGCCUGGAGAUACUGGGGAAAUGAAAAAGCGUCCGUAGGUUGAUGGAUGAGGAUCAAACACCGAAAGAAAUACAGUGCAGCACAUGCCGUGAUCUGAGAAACAUUCGCUGCAGAAUCCAUUUGUGGAAGAGAGAAAAAAAUGUCUGGAGGCGGGAUCAACCACUCAGCCCCUGAGUUACAAGUCCAGCAUUUUACCAACUGAGCUAACAAAACAACAUGUCAAUAUUUGUCAAUAUUAUGUCUUGUCCGCACUGCCGGAAUUCUACCAGAAGUAGAACAAGAAGAACGUAGUGACGAAACACGCUCUGUCCGUUUUCAGCUACUGUAGAAGGUAAUAAAAACAUAACGGUUCAUUAUGUAGGGUCUUUAUACACCACUAUAUAAACCACCGAUAUAUCCUCAGAAGUACCUUUAAAGGCUCCCGCGACCCUGUACGCAGGAUAAUUGACGAUGGAUGGACCUUUAAAGACUCAAAAUCAGAAAUUCCCAGAGGGGAAAUUGUUGUCUUACAGUUACUCACUUUGCUAAUCAAGGAAUUAAAGAAAUAAAAAUAAUACUAAAACGUUGGCAAGUAGUACUGUUUACAGUAUGUGACAGAAGUGUAAUGAAUAAACAAUAUUAAUACUAAUGAGUAUUGGGACAUCAUAAACCAGAGGAUUGCACAUUAUUUUGUUGUGCCGCCAUGUUUCGCCCAAACGGCGCUACAGAGCGCGUUUGAAUAUGUACUAAGAAGAAGGAAGUAGUAUUAGUAGUAGUAGUAGUCGUUUGGUUUAUUAGAAGUAAGAAGAGAUGUCUAAUUUAUUUACCACAACAGUUGACUAGCUUCUCCUUUGUGCUUGCAAAGGGAGGGGUGAGCAGUGACUGAGCCGUUGGUUACAAUUUGCAACUCUCACCACUAGAUGCCACUAAAACUUACACACUGAACCUUUAAUGACUGCUCCCGGGUAUAUUCGAGGCUUAAAGAGUCCGUGUGUCAGACUCUCUUUGGGGGAGGAGUUAAAGAGUUUGAUGGCCAUAGAUAGGAAUGACCUCCUGUGGCGCUCUGUGGUGCAUUUUAGAGGCAUGAGUCUUGCAAACACUCCUGUGUUUGAGCAGCACGUCAUGGAGUGGGUGGGAGACACUGUCCAAGGUGACAUACAGCAUCCUCCUCUCUGACACCACCGACAGAGAGUCCAGCUCCGCCCCCACGAUGUCACCGGCUUUACGGAUCAGUUUGUUGAGUCUGUUAGCGUCCGCUGCCCUCAACAGCAAACACAUAGAGCGCUGGCCACCACAGACUCAUAAGGCAUCCUCAGCAUCGUCCUGCAGAUGUUGAAGGAUCUGGUCUCACUGCAGACUUGUAGUGUCAAAUGGUCAUAAUGCUGUUUGGCAAAUAAUCUUAACUUAAGUUCAAAGUACUAUAGUUCAGUGCUCAAAGGUCAAGAAUUAACUUUCACACAUGUCUAGAUGUUGUUUCAGAGGCUAAAAAAGUGCAGUAAUGGAGGUAAGAUGUAAGAUAUAUAGAGCACCAGUAUCAGUUCUCAAACACUAUAAUUUGCUUUGUAGAGGCCUUGUGAUGAGUCAUAACCCCAGUGGCAGCUCAUAAUAAGCUUUAUGUCCAUUUUAAUGGAUCUUUUUACAAAAACUGAAUGAAGUUUUACUCAGCCGACUGAAUGUAAAAUAGAUCUUGAAGCUUUAAAACUGGCUGAAAAAAAAGUAAACACUUAAAGAUACACACUCUAUGUUUGUUAGUGUCCUUGACUCCCCAAAUAGUUUCCAAGGUCACCGUCGAUGUUCGCUUGGCUCUUUGCCAGUGAGCUCAAAAACAUCCAAUGUUGUCCCUGUUGUUUGCUUAAAGAUCAGUGCUGUGUAACCUUCGGUCUGUUGGAUUUGUCGUCUAAUCUCUGUUUCGUUGCCUCCUGCAGCCCCUUCCCCGUGAGAGAGACCAAACCAUUCAACAACGUCGAAAGUUGCUUACUUCAAGAGGAAAUAUGCGGAGGAGGAGGAUUUACACGGAGGCCUACAUGGAUAUUUUCAAAAACACCUGAUACUGCAGGAGGACCGGAGCUGCAUCCUGAAGCUCUCCCUGGAGAAGCUGAGGUUCCUGGAGGACCCCGAGGCCUACCUGCGGCGCUCCGUCCUCAUCAACAACCUGCUGAGGAAGAUCCACCAUGAGGAGGAGG